rnacentral:rRNA from 1 species
AGUGAACGCUGGCGGUAGGCCUAACACAUGCAAGUCGAACGGCAGCACAGUAAGAGCUUGCUCUUACGGGUGGCGAGUGGCGGACGGGUGAGGAAUACAUCGGAAUCUACUUUUUCGUGGGGGAUAACGUAGGGAAACUUACGCUAAUACCGCAUACGACCUACGGGUGAAAGCAGGGGAUCUUCGGACCUUGCGCGAUUGAAUGAGCCGAUGUCGGAUUAGCUAGUUGGCGGGGUAAAGGCCCACCAAGGCGACGAUCCGUAGCUGGUCUGAGAGGAUGAUCAGCCACACUGGAACUGAGACACGGUCCAGACUCCUACGGGAGGCAGCAGUGGGGAAUAUUGGACAAUGGGCGCAAGCCUGAUCCAGCCAUACCGCGUGGGUGAUGAAGGCCUUCGGGUUGUAAAGCCCUUUUGUUGGGAAAGAAAAGCAGCAGGUUAAUACCCCGCUGUUCUGACGGUACCCAAAGAAUAAGCACCGGCUAACUUCGUG